UCUCCGUUUUCUCUCUGAAGAAAGUAGUCUGAACCACGAUUUCUAAUGGCGGCAUUUUCCUGAUAUGUAAUGUAUUACCUUUGCUUAAUUUUCAUCUCCUGGUUUUCCUUGCAGAGGAAGCGAUGAAUUGUUGCAACUUAUUUCUCGCGUAACAAAACACGUGUGUCAUUAAAUUAAUCAGGGUUAAUUGAAUAUUCAAGGACAUACAAUUAGAAGUGUCCCCUGUAUUCUAGUUGUCACGUGAUUUCACCUGAAUCAUCCAACAUCCUACAAUCUCUCUUUAUAUGGAAUAAAGAGGAUGUCACUUCUACCUUCUGCCUGUUAAUUGAAUGAUGUAAGUUUUGGUAAACAUCAAAUAGCAUACAACAAUUACAGCCUUGUAUCACACCUUGAAUGGCUUUUAGAAUGAGCAAAGAUUAAGAGAACAAAUCUUUCAAAACUUCCUCAGAAAGUUCAGUAACCAAACCUGUAAUGCAAAUUUUCUAUUGUAUUGCAUUCAGAUUGUUGCUGCAACAUUGUAGCUUGAUGCAAUAAAGCUGAAACACCAUAGCUUAACAUUUCUAGAGUGAUAACUAUCGUUUUCAAAGAGUCAAUAGGAUUAUCCUUAAUACUUAUCCUCAUAAUUGAAUUAAGCAUGUGCACGAUUCAUCCUACAGGAAUAAUUAACAGUGAAAAAGCUGCCAUAAGAUUAUUGUUCACAGAGUCAGAAAACAAUGUGUUGAAUCUGAUAUUCUAGCCCUGGAAAUCCCAGGUGCCUUUCUGCUUCAACAAGGCUAUAAAGCAAUUAUAAUUUCAGUAGGUAAAGAGUGAAACCAGAAACAAAGCACAGACAUUUUUUAAUUUGGUUUUUCCGCUUAAUGUUAUUGUUACACUUCACUUUUGGAAACAAAGAAGUGUAUACCAAUGUUCAGGGUCAAAUUGAUGAAAUGGUUGAGCCAAAAAAGAACUUAAUAUUACUUUUGAACAGGUCCUAACUCAGUGUACGCGGUUGAUGCCGACGAUCCAGCAAUCUUUAGGCUGCGGUCUUCCAGUGCUGGGAAUUUGUUAUGGCAAGCAAAUACUCCACAAGGAAUGAAUUGGAACUGUGGAGAGAAAAGAUGUUCGCGAUGGGCAAUUCGAGAUCCAAGUAGAAACGGAGUGCCCACUGUUUAAAGGCUUAGAGACUCAGCAAAUGAUAUUACUGACCCAUGGUGACAGCGUAGACAAGGUUGCAGAAGGAGAAAGUUGCGUCACAUUAUUUCCGCUGUUGCUGAUAUUAAUGAGUCCAGUUCCAUGAUUUGUCUGAAAACGGACGAAAAAUGUUGAUAAACUUCUUAUUCGAUAUCUGUAGAUUGCAAGGAGGUUCCACACUGGAGAAACACGAGCAGCAGUGUAACGAUUACAUCCGGGUCACGAUCGGAUGUCAUAAGAUCGUGUUCAUACAGUAAGCGGCGGAGUCGUCUCCGCCGUUUGUGGUAACCUUCUCCAUAAAGCACUUCUACAGGGUGAUGCGUAAAGUAUAAUCCGAGCAGGUCGUCACUAGUUUACUCAUAAUAAUCAUAAUAACUCGGGCUCAAUCUUCGGGUAAUUUGAGAUACUUUUCUGGACCGUUCAGAAUCUUAUGAUUGGCCAAAAUUUCUAAAAUACGUCGUCCUGUCACAUCUUAAAUUCUACGGUUUAUAAUACUUGUUCAAUGACCGAGUUCUUUUACAGACAGUGGCUUCUAACUAUGUUCACAUGACUCUUCGUUAAAGCAACAUCUGUAAAUGCCCAGAGUGUGCCUGCUUAGAAACCGAAUUUGAAUCCGAUUUUAUUUUGUCUCGAAAAUCAUGUAUAGUUUGCUAUAUUUAAAUUUUAGCAAACAACGGAACACAAUUCAAUUCGAAGUCAAACACACAACGAGCUUAUUUUUUUCAAUUAACGUACGGGAUCUGUUUGGGUAUAGCGUCUUGGGUUUAAAUCCUUACAAAAUUGAAUUGCUACCUUUGUCGAAUGCUUCAUUUCGUUUACAUCGACUAUACUUCAAUAAUUUACAAGUGGAAAAAGGUUGCAUUUAAGGAACAAGAAGGUAUUGUGCGUGUCUAUGUAUGAAUCGUGGCUUAAAGGGUGAGCAUCGGAUUGUGGCGCUGGAUGUUAGUGGAAUCAAAUCCCAUCAGAGGUAAAAAGUACAUAAUAUGGUUGCUGAUUCACUUUAUUGACGAUAUCACUGACAGUUUACAAGCGUUUUAGUAAUUUACCUUGGGCUACUUCAAAUUAUUAUUAAAAGUGGGAACAUGUUACCUUUAAGCUCAUGGUAAAAGUUGAAACUUAAAAUGUAUGACUCAUGGCUCAAAGGUAGAGCACUGUAGCGGUACGCCAAAGGUUUAGGGUUCGAUUCCCAAAAGAGUCAAAUCACAUUCCAAUGAAGAAAAUAAAUUCAAUCGGGAAAAUUCAA